UACGAAGGGGGCUAGCGUUGCUCGGAAUUACUGGGCGUAAAGCGUACGUAGGCGGCUUUGUAGGUUAGAGGUGAAAGCCCGGGGCUCAACUCCGGAAUUGCCUUUAAGACUGCAUCGCUUGAAUCAUGGAGAGGUGAGUGGAAUUCCGAGUGUAGAGGUGAAAUUCGUAGAUAUUCGGAAGAACACCAGUGGCGAAGGCGACUCACUGGACAUGUAUUGACGCUGAGGUACGAAAGCGUGGGGAGCAAACAGG
rnacentral:rRNA from 1 species